rnacentral:rRNA from 1 species
CCCGGUCGUUUUAGCGCCGUCGAACUACCUGAUACCAUUCCGAACUCAGUCGUAAAAGGCGGCAGCGCCGACAAUAGUAUCCCCGCAAGGGGCUGCGAAGAUAGGUCACGGCCGGGU